UAGCUAGACUUGUGUUCUUCAAGUAAAAACUAGACCCUUCCUUUUAAUGUUGAUCUCACGGGGUUUCUAGUGUUUUUGUUGUCUAGCUACACAUGGUGCUAAGGAUGGUGUACAUCGAAUACUUCAAAUGAUAUCGAAUUUGGUAUCAAGCUAUAAAGGAGAGACCAAGAAAUAUGGCAUCCAAUCCAAGGGUGAACUAAACAAGGCCCAAGAGUGAGAGACACAUACACCCAAACACUAUACAUCCAAGUGAGUGUGUGUGUGUCAGUUAUUCAGCUAAAAAAAAUACUAUCAAGUAAUGAAAAAAAUCAUGUGACUUUCUAUCUAUCUUUUUUUAAUCUACAUUACAUAGCUAGAGUUUACUUGCAACACGUAUCCAAAACGAACAGGGAAGAAGAAGAAAUAUAUAUAUAGAUGAAUUUUGAAGGAGGAAAAGAAAAAAAGAGUUGCAGCGAUGCAGACAUGCAGUGGGAGCUGCAUGCAGCAUAGCUGCGUAGGAGGAACGGAGAAGGUUUUGCUGCCGUACGUCAGACGCGGCUCGUGGUGAAGAUGCCUUUGCUUGCCGCACAAACGUACUGGGCUUUGCUGGGCCUUGGCCCUUGGCCCACGCCCAUGUGUCCUGUAUGUCUCGCCCCCACCCAUGCAUGCAUGCACGUACGGCCUGCAACCACCUAAGACCUAAAUUGAUAUGAUAGUAUACAGUGUUUAUUGUUCAAAUAAAAAAUUCUUUGUGGGCGCAUUUAUCCAAAACCACUUUUAUUUGUUUUCA